rnacentral:rRNA from 1 species
UACGUAGGGGGCGAGCGUUAUCCGAAGUUACUGGGCGUAAAGCGCGCGUAGGCGGGCUAUUAAGUCGGAUGUGAAAUCUCCACGGCUCAACCGGGAAAUUGCAUCCGAAACUGGUAGCCUUGAGGUAUGGAGAGGGAAGUGGAAUUCCUGGUGUAGCGGUGAAAUGCGUAGAUAUCAGGAGGAACACCCGUGGCGAAGGCGGCUUCCUGGCCAUAUCCUGACGCUGAGGUGCGAAAGCCAGGGGAGCGAACGGG